GUGGCUUAAUUUGACUCAACGCGGGAAAUCUUACCAGGUCCAGACAUAUGGAGGAUUGACAGACAGUUAACCAAAACGCAGCAGCUAGUUUAACAAAACUAACAGCUCUUUCAAGAUUAUGUGGUAGGUGGUGCAUGGCCGUUCUUAGUUCGUGAAGUGAUUCGUUCGCCCAAUCGCAUUUCCAAACAACUAACAACUCAGAAUGCUGGGCAAUAGGACGUUUAAAGUGGCUCCUUACACCUUACAAAGGAAUGGCUGAUGAGAAACAACUCGAUCCGCUCAGCGUUCUAUUGGAAUGCAACGGACGUGAUUGCAAGCUUUUGUUUUGAGUUGCGGUUUUACAUAAACACUCUACAAUCUGCAAACUUCAAUGAUCUGAAGUAGAAAACCUACAUGCUACAGUGAGAUAUUGUGGAUAAACUUAAGCGACCGCUCCAACAUUGUGUUUUUUUAAAACUGAUGAAGGUUGCGGCAAUAACAGGUCUGUGAUGCCCUUCGAU
rnacentral:rRNA from 1 species